rnacentral:rRNA from 1 species
AUGAUGUAUGGGCAUGGGAUUGAGGGCCUCGACUAUUUCCACAUCGAGGUCCCGGACAUCCCUCAGCCUUCACACUCGCUCCUGGCGAUUGUUACCGUGCGGGAUGGGGUGGCGUCCCCUGAGAUGACCGAGGUGGAGCUCAACCACCUCUACCACUUCACCUUGGACUGGCAGGUCACCCUGCUGGCUGGUGGCCAGUUCUCGAUGGUGUUCCCCGAUGUGGUCAGCCACGACUACGGCACCCACAACGGCGACAUCACCCUCGCACUCAACAAGCUCGUGGUGGACAUCUCGGUGCUUGUCCGGGACCCCUUGGCAGUGGUCGUCCUGGACACGACAUGGAUCCUCAUCGGCGGCCUCCCCGACACCGCGCGCUCGAAGAGGGUCAUUCGGAACAUGUCCCACAUCCUCGACAAGGUGGUCGUGGUGGACGAGCUCUCCCUCCACAAGGAGGAGGAGGUGUGGGUCAAGGUCAAAUCCCUUGACUCAUCCAAGCUCCGUGCCACGAUCCGGGUCUUCUUCAACGACCAGGGUUUCGACCUCCGGAUCUCUCCCGAGCCGCCCAACCAUGUUGGUCGCCCCCGCAUCCCCGAGGACAGCCUCUUGAGGGGCGGCCCCGCUGGUGGGGGCAUGGGGGACCAUCGCAGCGACCGUGGCCCCCACCAUGGCCACAACUCCGACUCGGAGGACGACGAUGAGGAGUAUGAGGACAGUCCCCGCCACAAGCACCCUCCCGCCUCGGCUGCCAGGGGUGGCGCAGGAGCUGGCCGAUCCCACUACUCGGCCCCUCCGCCCCCCGCCCCCCGCAGAUAG